GACGAACGCUGGCGGCGUGCCUAAUACAUGCAAGUAGAACGCUGAAGGAGGAGCUUGCUUCUCCGGAUGAGUUGCGAACGGGUGAGUAACGCGUAGGUAACCUGCCUGGUAGCGGGGGAUAACUAUUGGAAACGAUAGCUAAUACCGCAUAAGAGUAGAUGUCGCACGACAUUUGCUUAAAAGGUGCAACUGCACCACUACCAGAUGGACCUGCGUUGUAUUAGCUAGUUGGUGAGGUAACGGCUCACCAAGGCAACGAUACAUAGCCGACCUGAGAGGGUGAUCGGCCACACUGGGACUGAGACACGGCCCAGACUCCUACGGGAGGCAGCAGUAGGGAAUCUUCGGCAAUGGACGGAAGUCUGACCGAGCAACGCCGCGUGAGUGAAGAAGGUUUUCGGAUCGUAAAGCUCUGUUGUAAGAGAAGAACGAGUGUGAGAGUGGAAAGUUCACACUGUGACGGUAUCUUACCAGAAAGGGACGGCUAACUACGUG
rnacentral:rRNA from 1 species